GGUGGAAAAGGCCCUGAGAAAUCAAGAAAGCAAAAGAGUAUGUAUAGUGAAGCCUGCCUGGAUCUUGGCUUGAGUGUGCAUGUUCUAGAAGGGCAAUGAGAGAUGUGGAAGACCUGAGAGGAUGGCAACGGAGGGAAAAAGUGGUGACGGAGGCAAAAAGUGGUGCCCAACCACCCCAUGGAGCCCUUGUGCAUUUGACCUUUAGAUCUCAGGAUCGUUGAUCGCAGGAGCCUCCUGGUUAAGAAAGGGAAAGACAAGAUGUUAAUAUCAGGGAAAUCUGGAGUCUCCUGAUUAAAAAAAGAUGUUAUCAGCCUGGAUUUCGGGAGUCUCCUGAUCGAAAAAAGAUGUUAUGAUCAGGGAUUUCGGGAGUCUCCUAAUUGAUAAAAGAUGUUAUUAUCAGGGAAAUCUGG